GUACACACCGCCCGUCACACCAUGGGAGUGGGUUGCACCAGAAGUAGCUAGUCUAACCGCAAGGGGGACGGUUACCACGGUGUGAUUCAUGACUGGGGUGAAGUCGUAACAAGGUAGCCGUAGGUGAACCUGCAGAAGGAUCA
rnacentral:rRNA from 1 species